rnacentral:rRNA from 1 species
UGCGUAGGUGGUGAGGUAAGUCGGAUGUGAAAUCUCCGGGCUCAACCCGGAAACGGCAUUGGAAACUACCUUGCUGGAGGAUUUGAGGGGGGAUUGGAAUACUUGGUGUAGCAGUGAAAUGCGUAGAUAUCAAGUGGAACACCAGUGGCGAAGGCGAAUCCCUGGAAAAUACCUGACACUGAGGCACGAAAGCUAGGGGAGCAAACAG